UGUGCUUUUAUAUGACAUAUUUCACAGUAAUCACAUUUACUGUACCAUGCUUGUAAUACCUUUAUAAUGUAAAUCAAAAAAAAAAAAAAAAAAAAAAAAUUUUCCCAUCUUGCAGUUCAUUCAUAUUAGUUUAUAUCUUAAAUAUUUUGCUCACAGAUCACUAUUAACAUUCUGUAUAUAAUUCUGUUUUAUUUUCUUUCCCCUUGUAUUUAUUUUUUAGCUGAAAAGACGUAAAGGAAGCAGUCACCCCAGUGGUGUUUGUGGAGAGGUAUUCCUUCAGAAAUGGAGAAGACAGAAAGCUGCAGAGGCAGGAUUGUUUGCAGAUAAUGCUGUUCUUCUUUUUCAGAAGUUUUUGGUGAGCCAACCCUCACACACCUUCCUAAAAACUAAAAGAGCUAUUACUGAGUCUCAGUGAAUCUUGCCAUGAUCAGCUCUUCCCAGAAGAGAAGGAAGACCAAGGAAAUGAUUUGCUCAGGAUGAGGAAUGAAGAUGGUCAUCUUGUGCUCAAGCAAACAGAAGUCCUCUGGCCUUACACUGCACAGACUAAAACACAUUUGUGAGAGAAGUCAGGAACUUUGGAGAAAGAUUCUAGAGGAAGAAAACACAUUUACUGCAACAUUAGAUCAAUUCUAGAGUCUCUGAGAACUACACAUGCUAAUGGAGUCUCAUGAGCAAGACCUUUGCCU